UCGUGUCGUGAGAUGUUGGGUUAAGUCCCGCAACGAGCGCAACCCUUGUCAUUAAUUGCUACCAUUUAGUUGGGCACUUUAAUGAGACUGCCGGUGAUAAACCGGAGGAAGGUGGGGAUGACGUCAAGUCCUCAUGGCCCUUAUGGGUAGGGCUUCACACGUAAUACAAUGGCGCGUACAGAGGGUUGCCAACUCGCGAGAGGGAGCUAAUCUCAUAAAGCGCGUCGUAGUCCGGAUCGGAGUCUGCAACUCGACUCCGUGAAGUCGGAAUCGCUAGUAAUCGCGGAUCAGCAUGUCGCGGUGAAUACGUUCCCGGGUCUUGUACACACCGCCCG
rnacentral:rRNA from 1 species